GAAAGACUAGGGAUGACAUCCAGUGGAAGCGAGAGGCCAUCUUUAAGACUGUCAUAAAGGACAGACAAGAAGAAGAGCAGAGGUCAAGAGGCUAGAUAAACAACUUCCUACAGCUGCUACGACAUCGGGUGCGCAUCCGCAGCAGAAAGUGUGUGCCGUGGAGAUAAACACAUCAGUUUUUAUGAUGCUGCCAGAAGUCUUCUCCCAUUUGCCUCAACUCAGUCUUCAGGGAAUCCCUCACUGCUCUCUGAAAGAUCUGGGAGAAUUGGAUGUAGAGUCCAGCCUGCCAUGAGUGUCCUACCAAGGCCUUUGCUUCUAAAGCAUGCUGAAGUUCCAGGCUCCUGCCAACAGUUUGCUUUAUUUCUGCUCAGUGAGAAUAAACGUCUGUUACACGGGUUCUCAGACAGACACAUCUUGUACUAAAUUCUACUCCUUAUAUCAGUUUCCACUGUGCAUCUGUUGUUAUCUUCUUCUCUCAAGACCAACCCAGACUACCACCAAGAUGAGCCUUUUGGGCUCAUACCCACGGUCUGCAAAGUGUAAUAAAUAUGUGAUGUGUAUGUAACAUGUCUUGAGCCUGGCAUGACUGGCCUCUCUGUUCUGCAUCUACCACCAACAUCCCAGGAGAAAAACGCUAAGCACCUUGUCUAGGGUCUCAAAGAUAGCAAGUGCCUGAGUCACAGACUCUGGCUCCAGAGC
rnacentral:lncRNA from 1 species